UACAGAGGUCUCAAGCGUUGUUCGGAUUCAUUGGGCGUAAAGGGUGUGCAGGCGGGUUUGCAAGUGGGGGAUGAAAUCUCCCGGCUUAACCGGGAGGGGUUAUGCCAGACUGCAAAUCUAGAGGACGAGAGAGGGGGGUGGAAUUCCGGGUGUAGUGGUGAAAUGCGUAGAGAUCCGGAGGAACCCCAGAGGCGAAGGCGGCCCCCUGGCUCGUACCUGACGCUCAGCCACGAAAGCAUGGGGAGCGAACGGG
rnacentral:rRNA from 1 species